GUCUCAUUGAUCAAAAAAUUAAUAAUGAGUUUGACCUGCUCAGUGAAAAUUUAACAGCCGCAGUACCCUGACUGUGCUAAGGUAGCAUAAUAAUUUGUCUCAUAAUUGGAGAAUGGAAUGAAAGGUUUGACUAAGGCAUAACUGUCUCUUAUAUAAUUACUAAAAGUUGAUUUUUAAGUUAAAAAGCUUAAAUUAGAUUAAAAGACGAGAAGACCCUAUUGAGCUUUACAAUGCUUAUGUUAAUAAAUAUUAUAGGCGAUAAAUAGUUUCGUAACAUAAAAUUUUUAGUUGGGGCGACUUAGGAACAAAUAAAGCAUCCUAAAUAAAUAAUUAGAGAUAUCUAAAGAUCCAAAUAAUUUUGAAUUUAGAACAAGCUACCAUAGGGAUAACAGCGCUAUUUUUUUUGAGAGUUCUAAUCGAAAAAAAAGAUUGCGACCUCGAUGUUGGAUUAGGAUAUAAUAAAAGUUGCAGAAGCUUUUAUGUUUAGUCUGUUCGACUACUGAAAUCCU
rnacentral:rRNA from 1 species